rfam:Acyrthosiphon pisum strain LSR1 Contig40844, whole genome shotgun sequence.
GGACGGGAUUGUUGAUGGGUGUGUGUCUAGUGACAUGCGUUUUAUAUUUGACAGACAUGACUAGAUCCACACUCAUCCAUGUUCCCGGGC